AUUAUAAACUCCUCUAGGCACGCUGUACCCUGAAACUCCCAGCACUUAUCCCCUUCUAAUUCUGAAGCAUAGAUAUAGUUGGGGAUAUGUACACCGGUCUCCUGCAUACAUUCAAAGUCAUAAAAAAAUGUAUUUGUUAGUAGGGUUUUCUGGGGUGUAUCUUCUCAUAUAACAAACAUGGCCAUCAAGCGUGACUACAGUGGCAUAGCAAAUCUGACAUUGGAAACCUUUACACUUAUGAUCGGCCAUUACGGUGUAACGGCCGCAAGAAUCACAAUAAGCUUUCUGCCUGCACUCUAUGUCUCCGGAUACGGAGAGCUCUAUGUGCAAC